rnacentral:rRNA from 1 species
AUUCCAGCUCCAAUAGCGUAUAUUAAAGUUGUUGCGGUUAAAAAGCUCGUAGUUGGAUUUCUGCUGAAGCAAACCGGUCCGCCCUCUGGGUGAGCAUCUGGCUUUAUUUUGGCAUAUGCUUAGACUUUGCAGCUGCACUUGACUGUGUGGUGUGAAGGCUAAGCCAUUUACUUUGAGGAAAUCAGAGUGUUUCAAGCAGGCAAUUGCCUUGAAUACACUAGCAUGGAAUAAUAUGAUAUGACUGUGGUUUUAUUUUGUUGGCUUCUAGAAUUAGAGUAAUGGUUAAUAGGGAUAGUUGGGGGCAUUCAUAUUUAACUGUCAGAGGUGAAAUUCUUGGAUUUGUUAAGGAUGAACGACUGCGAAAGCAUUUGCCAAGGAUGCUUUCAUCG